AGUGGGGAAUUUUCCGCAAUGGGCGAAAGCCUGACGGAGCAAUACCGCGUGAGGGAGGAAGGCUCUUGGGUUGUAAACCUCAAAACUUAGGGAAGAAAAAAAUGACGGUACCUAAUAUAAGCAUCGGCUAACUCCGUGCCAGCAGCCGCGGUAAUACGGAGGAUGCAAGCGUUAUCCGGAAUCAUUGGGCGUAAAGAGUCCGUAGGUGGCACUUCAAGUCGACUUUCAAAGACCGAAGCUCAACUUCGGAAAGGGAGUGGAAACUGAAGAGCUAGAGUAUAGUAGGGGUAGAGGGAAUUCCUAGUGUAGCGGUGAAAUGCGUAGAGAUUAGGAAGAACACCAGUGGCGAAGGCGCUCUACUGGGCAUAUGCUGACACUGAGGGACGAAAGCUAGGGUAGCGAAAGGGAUUAGAUACCCCUGUAGUCCUAGCGGUAAACGAUGGAUACUAGGCGUAGUGCUCUUAGAAGGACUGUGCCGAAGCUAACGCGUUAAGUAUCCCGCCUGGGGAGUACGCACGCAAGUGUGA
rnacentral:rRNA from 1 species